rnacentral:rRNA from 1 species
GAUGAACGCUGGCGGCGUGCCUAAUACAUGCAAGUCGAGCGAACAGACGAGGAGCUUGCUCCUCUGACGUUAGCGGCGGACGGGUGAGUAACACGUGGAUAACCUACCUAUAAGACUGGGAUAACUUCGGGAAACCGGAGCUAAUACCGGAUAAUAUAUUGAACCGCCUGGUUCAAUAGUGAAAGACGGUUUUGCUGUCACUUAUAGAUGGAUCCGCGCCGCAUUAGCUAGUUGGUAAGGUAACGGCUUACCAAGGCAACGAUGCGUAGCCGACCUGAGAGGGGGAUCGGCCACCUGGGAGCGGGGACGGGGUCCAGACGCCUACGGGAGGCAGCAGUAGGGAAUCUUCCGCAAUGGGCGAAAGCCUGACGGAGCAACGCCGCGUGAGUGAUGAAGGUCUUCGGAUCGGAAAACCCUGUUAUUAGGGAAGAACAAAUGUGUAAGUAACUAUGCACGUCUUGACGGUACCUAAUCAGAAAGCCACGGCUAACUACGUG